UUUUCCCUCGCCAGGGGGGCCCGCCUGCGCGCGCGAGGCGAGGGGGAACGCGCCGCCCCGCCCCCCUCCACCGAGGAAACGACGCAGCCGAAAAGCGCGGAAACUACAGGAGCCACCCCGCCGGGCGACGGGUAGACAACGCCCACGCAGAGGGAGGCAAAUGCGGAAAGCCAGCUGGCCGCAGAAACGAAGAAAAGGGGCAUUUGCGGAGCACGGUGGAAAGCGGCCCAUUGGGACAGCGCGGGUGGGGGGGGGCGGCUAAAGGAGGCAACGCCAUGCAUAGUGACGGGCGCCCCCGCCAGCCGCAUGCGGUUCUUCGGCGUUCCUCCACGCCUGGGCGAACAAAUUUCGGCACGUCUUCGCUACGCUCGCGGGUCAGAUUUGCCCUUCUAGCUGAGGUUUGGUCA